rnacentral:rRNA from 1 species
CCUACGGGUGGCAGCAGUGAGGAAUAUUGGUCAAUGGUCGGGAGCCUGAACCAGCCAAGCCGCGUGAGUGAAGAAGUAUUUCGGUACGUAAAGCUCUAUCAGCAGGGAAGAAAAUGACGGUACCUGACGAAGAAGCCCCGGCUAACUACGUGCCAGCAGCCGCGGUAAUACGUAGGGGGCAAGCGUUAUCCGGAUUUACUGGGUGUAAAGGGGGCGUAGACGGCAGCGCAAGUCAGGAGUGAAAGCCCAUGGCUUAACCAUGGAACUGCUUUUGAAACUGUGAAGCUAGAGUGCAGGAGGGGUAGGCGGAAUUCCUAGUGUAGCGGUGAAAUGCGUAGAUAUUAGGAGGAACACCAGUGGCGAAGGCGGCCUACUGGACUGUAACUGACGUUGAGGCUCGAAAGCGUGGGGAGCAAACAGGAUUAGAUACCCGAGUAGUC